AACGCUGGCGGUAGGCCUAACACAUGCAAGUCGAACGGCAGCACAGGAGAGCUUGCUCUCUGGGUGGCGAGUGGCGGACGGGUGAGGAAUACAUCGGAAUCUACUUUUUCGUGGGGGAUAACGUAGGGAAACUUACGCUAAUACCGCAUACGACCUACGGGUGAAAGCAGGGGAUCUUCGGACCUUGCGCGAUUGAAUGAGCCGAUGUCGGAUUAGCUAGUUGGCGGGGUAAAGGCCCACCAAGGCGACGAUCCGUAGCUGGUCUGAGAGGAUGAUCAGCCACACUGGAACUGAGACACGGUCCAGACUCCUACGGGAGGCAGCAGUGGGGAAUAUUGGACAAUGGGCGCAAGCCUGAUCCAGCCAUACCGCGUGGGUGAAGAAGGCCUUCGGGUUGUAAAGCCCUUUUGUUGGGAAAGAAAU
rnacentral:rRNA from 1 species